ACUGUCUUUCAUGAUGAUACAACCACCAUAAGCAUAGUUCAACAGAAUACUCGUGUUGAUAAACCUUACCAUCAUCUUUCGCUCCUAUCUGAUUUAUCAU
rnacentral:snoRNA from 1 species